rnacentral:rRNA from 1 species
UACGUAGGGGGCAAGCGUUGUCCGGAUUCAUUGGGCGUAAAGAGCGUGUAGGCGGCCAGGUAGGUCGGUUGUGAAAACUGGAGGCUCAACCUUCAGACGUCGACCGAAACCAUCUGGCUAGAGUCCGGGAGAGGAGAGUGGAAUUCCUGGUGUAGCAGGUGAAAUGCGUAGAUAUUGAGCAGGAACACCGUGGCGCAAAGCGGCUCUCUGGACCAACAUUGACGCUGAGGCACGAAAGCGUGGGGAUCAAACAGG